rnacentral:rRNA from 1 species
CAUCCCUCUGACCGACUCUUAACCGAGUCUUUCUUCGGGACAGAGGAGACAGGUGGUGCAUGGUUGUCGUCAGCUCGUGUCGUGAGAUGUUGGGUUAAGUCCCGCAACGAGCGCAACCCCUAUCCCCAGUAGCCAGCGGUUCGGCCGGGCACUCUGAGGAGACUGCCAGGGAUAACCUGGAGGAAGGCGGGGAUGACGUCAAAUCAUCAUGCCCCUUAUGAUUUGGGCUACACACGUGCUACAAUGGCGUAAGCAAAGGGAAGCAAGCCUGCGAAGGUAAGCAAAUCCCAAAAAUAACGUCCCAGUUCGGACUGCAGUCUGCAACUCGACUGCACGAAGCUGGAAUCGCUAGUAAUCGCGGAUCAGAAUGCCGCGGUGAAUACGUUCCCGGGUCUUGUACACACCGCCCGUCACACCAUGGGAGUCAGUAACGCCCGAAGUCAGUGGCCUAACUGCAAAGAAGGAGCUGCCGAAGGCGGGACCGAUGACUGGGUGAAGUCGUAACAAGGUAACCGUAAGCUUCACAAUCGAAUUCYCC